rnacentral:rRNA from 1 species
GAGUUUGAUCGUGGCUCAGGAUGAACGCUGGCGGCGUGCCUAACACAUGCAAGUCGAACGGAGUUAAACGCUGAAUUGAUGGUAGCUUGCUAUUGGAUUUUCUUGUUUAACUUAGUGGCGGACGGGUGAGUAACACGUGAGCAACCUGCCUUUCAGAGGGGGAUAACGGCUGGAAACGGUCGCUAAUACCGCAUGAUAUAUUCGAGUGGCAUCGCUUGAAUAUCAAAGGAGCAAUCCGCUGAAAGAUGGGCUCGCGUCUGAUUAGAUAGUUGGUGGGGUAACGGCCUACCAAGUCGACGAUCAGUAGCCGGACUGAGAGGUUGAACGGCCAC